UGGGGAAUAUUGCACAAUGGGGGAAACCCUGAUGCAGCGACGCCGCGUGGAGGAAGAAGGUCUUCGGAUUGUAAACUCCUGUUGUUGAGGAAGAUAAUGACGGUACUCAACAAGGAAGUGACGGCUAACUACGUGCCAGCAGCCGCGGUAAAACGUAGGUCACAAGCGUUGUCCGGAAUUACUGGGUGUAAAGGGAGCGCAGGCGGGAGAACAAGUUGGAAGUGAAAUCCAUGGGCUCAACCCAUGAACUGCUUUCAAAACUGUUUUUCUUGAGUAGUGCAGAGGUAGGCGGAAUUCCCGGUGUAGCGGUGGAAUGCGUAGAUAUCGGGAGGAACACCAGUGGCGAAGGCGGCCUACUGGGCACCAACUGACGCUGAGGCUCGAAAGUGUGGGUAGCAAACAGGAUUAGAUACCCUGGUAGUCCACACCGUAAACGAUGAUUACUAGGUGUUGGAGGAUUGACCCCUUCAGUGCCGCAGUUAACACAAUAAGUAAUCCACCUGGGGAGUACGACCGCAAGGUUGAAACUCAAAGGAAUUGACGGGGGCCCGCACAAGCAGUGGAGUAUGUGGUUUAAUUCGACGCAACGCGAAGAACCUUACCAGGUCUUGACAUCCCUUGACGAUGCUGGAAACAGCAUUUCUCUUCGGAGCAAGGAGACAGGUGGUGCAUGGUUGUCGUCAGCUCGUGUCGUGAGAUGUUGGGUUAAGUCCCGCAACGAGCGCAACCCUUAUGGUCAGUUACUACGCAAGAGGACUCUGGCCAGACUGCCGUUGACAAAACGGAGGAAGGUGGGGAUGACGUCAAAUCAUCAUGCCCUUUAUGACUUGGGCUACACACGUACUACAAUGGCGUUAAACAAAGAGAAGCAAGACCGCGAGGUGGAGCAAAACUCAGAAACAACGUCCCAGUUCGGACUGCAGGCUGCAACUCGCCUGCACGAAGUCGGAAUUGCUAGUAAUCGUGGAUCAGCAUGCCACGGUGAAUACGUUCCC
rnacentral:rRNA from 1 species